rnacentral:rRNA from 1 species
AGUGAACGCUGGCGGUAGGCCUAACACAUGCAAGUCGAACGGCAGCACAGAGGAGCUUGCUCCUUGGGUGGCGAGUGGCGGACGGGUGAGGAAUACAUCGGAAUCUACUCUGUCGUGGGGGAUAACGUAGGGAAACUUACGCUAAUACCGCAUACGACCUACGGGUGAAAGCAGGGGGUCUUCGGACCUUGCGCGAUUGAAUGAGCCGAUGUCGGAUUAGCUAGUUGGCGGGGUAAAGGCCCACCAAGGCGACGAUCCGUAGCUGGUCUGAGAGGAUGAUCAGCCACACUGGAUCUGGGACACGGUCCAGACUCCUACGGGAGGCAGCAGUGGGGAAUAUUGGACAAUGGGCGCAAGCCUGAUCCAGCCAUACCGCGUGGGUGAAGAAGGCCUUCGGGUUGUAAAGCCCUUUUGUUGGGAAAGAAAUCCAUCUGGUUAAUACCCGGGUGGGAUGACGGUACCCAAAGAAUAAGCACCGGCUAACUUCGUGCCAGCCGCCGCGGUAA